GUGGAGGUAAAUUCCUCUCUGAAUUUCUAGUGAGUGCAGUCCAAGUGCUGGAGGGUGAGGGUGAGAAGUUGGGUUAGAAUCUGGUGGAGGGGACAAUUGAUCCCAGCCAGCAAAGGCGAUGGGAAACAGGCAGAACCUGUAGCCCAGCUCAUCUCUGUGGUCGCCUGCAUGGCACCAGGAAAACAGGACUCUGAACCCCAGUAUGCAGUGUGACAUAUACUCUACUAGGAGGUCAAAAAUUGAUGUUGAAUUAAUGAAAGAAGGAAUUAUUCAUCUGGACUUCUUUGCAAAAUUAACAUGGGAAGAAAGUCUCAGAUAAGCCCUUCCUUUUUCUGAGCAAAUUCUUUACUGUUUUCUAAAUUUUCCUUUGGUGCUCUUUGCUCCCUAGACUUUGGCUUCUUUAUUUCCAUUAAACCCCAGAUUUUGGAAAAGCAGACUCUCAGACUCCACAGCGGAGCUCCGGAAUGCUGCCCCAGGUUGGGCUGGAUGCAACUUUCUUUGCCAAAGCUUCUGUGGUGGUCCUGAUGCACUCCCAUGGUCAAAGGUCACCCACCUGAAGACCUGCACCCUUCCACAUCCGCUGAGCAUGAAUCUCCAUGAGAGCAGGACUCCACUGAAGCAGAAAUCCAGAGCCAAGAAGGACACAGAGUUUCUGGGGAUGGCAUUAGCCCAGGGCCCUGUUCAUUGUUUUGUGGAUGUAGAAACCAAAGCCAGAAGGACAGGUGACUUGCUCAGGGGCAUCCAGUCCAGGAGAUCACAUGGCACCUGUACCUUCUUACAGAAUCCCCAACCUGUGCAAAGGAAGUCAGCCCUGAUGGGGUAGGAUUCUAAAGAUGUUAUAGAUUAAGCUGGGUUUUCCCUGGCAUCCAUGGAAUUGCAGAAUUUUUAAACUGAAGGGACCUCAGGAAGAAGGACAACUGGGAAAAAGGAGUCACCUAUCCUGUACCACCUACCCCCCUGAGCACUUUAUUUCACUUAACUUCAGAUUAAAUGAAGCAUUAUUAUUUCAUGUUUCCAAUGAGAGAAUGAAGGUUCAGGUGAUGAAGGUAAAUUCCCCAAGAUCAUAUAACAUGGAAGUUGGAGAGCUAGGACUCAAACUCACAAUCUUCUGGCUUCAAGUCACCAUUCCCUGAGAGGAAUCUAGAGACAGUCUAUCUACCAGGUUCAUUUUCUUUACUUGCUAGGUGAACAAAUGUGGCCUGCAGAGCUCAAUGGCUUCACCAAGGUCAAGAGUGAGUGAAUGCCAUGGCUGGGGCUGCUCUGGUCCAUGUGUUUUCCAUGCCAGAGGGUGGCCUCCUAGAGUUCUUUGGUGAUGCCUCUAGCUCUGGAUGACACCAGGCUGGUGGAGGCAGAUCCAAUGGACCAGGGAUGGAGACCUUCAUGCCACUGCUCCCUCUUCAUGGCAUCCAGAGCUCCAGGAGUCCCUUUGGAUCAGACCAAGCCACAGCCACCUUCCAGAAGGAGCCACUGGGGUGGCCAUCAAAGGCUUGGGACACACAAGCUUGGGGCAGUGGUCCAGGGGUAAAGGCCUCCAGUCUUAGGGCCUUCCCCUCCUCAUGGCCCCUGGGCCUCUCUUCUUACCUUGGGGUGCUGGCUUUUCCUUUGCUGGUUAGACCUGUGGCCCAGGGACUUCACUCAGGGCCACCCCAAGGGAGGAAUGAUGAGGGUGACCCAGUUCCUCAUUGCCGGCCUCUCCACCCUCCACCGUCUGCCUUGCUCUGUAACAUUUCUGUGAGCUUCCAGCACACACCAGCAGCCAGCCCAUCUUCUGAUUAGUUUCAGCCUGGUAAGUCCUUCCUGCCGCUGAACCACCUGUCUCCCGAGAGGACCUACAGCCAACGCCUCCCACACCAGAUGGCCACCCCCUCCUGCCCCUCCAUAGUGUUCCAGCCAAGGCCAGGCCAGGCAUGGACAGAAGAGGACCUGAGCGACUGCAGCCAAGGUCAAAGUGGCCAUCUGGACACAGACGCCAGCAAUCAGGAUUUGCAGUACAGAUGAAGACUGUGGAACACUUAUUUUAAUGGGCUAGAAGACUUCCUGGCAUGUUUUGAGUAAAUUGUGCUACUGUCAUGCAGAACUGGAUUAAUGUCUGUCUUAUAAAUAAGACCCACCUGGUAUCACUCUGUUUGCAAAGUGUAGCAGCCAGUGUCACCGGUUAUAUCUCCGUCUGCUGUGUUAGGAAGCAUUCUUGUCCUGUUUUAUUUUUCCCUCAGAAGUAUAGAAAAAGGACCUCAUGCCAGGUGUGGUGGCUCAUGCCUGUAAUCCCAACAC
rnacentral:lncRNA from 1 species